ACGGGAGGCAGCAGUGGGGGAUAUUGCACAAUGGGGGAAACCCUGAUGCAGCGACGCCGCGUGAGUGAUGAAGUAUUUCGGUAUGUAAAGCUCUAUCAGCAGGGAAGAAAAUGACGGUACCUGACUAAGAAGCACCGGCUAAAUACGUGCCAGCAGCCGCGGUAAUACGUAUGGUGCAAGCGUUAUCCGGAUUUACUGGGUGUAAAGGGAGCGUAGACGGCAUAGCAAGCCAGAUGUGAAAGGUGGGGGCUCAACCCCCAAGCUGCAUUUGGAACUGUUAAGCUAGAGUAUCGGAGAGGUAAGUGGAAUUCCUAGUGUAGCGGUGAAAUGCGUAGAUAUUAGGAGGAACACCAGUGGCGAAGGCGGCCUGCUGGACUGUUACUGACGCUGAGGCACGAAAGCGUGGGGAGCAAACAGGAUUAGAUACCCUGGUA
rnacentral:rRNA from 1 species